AUUUAAAUAGUUUAAUAAAAAUAUUGAUUUGUGGAGUCAAUGAUAUGAAUAAUUUUUCAUU
rnacentral:tRNA from 1 species